CCACUAUAGGCCGAUGGAUUUAGCCGCCGCGAUCGCCGUUGUGCCAAGCAGCCGCGGUAAUUCCAGCUCCAAUAGCGUAUACUAAAGUUGUUGCGGUUAAAAAGCUCGUAGUUGGAUCUUGGAAUGUGUUCAAGCGGGUCAGCUUCUGGCUGUGCGCUGCUUGACGUGUUCUUCUAUUUGGUUUUGGUGCGGUGCGCUUAACUGCGUGUCGCUCCCGGCCGAAACGUUUACCUUGAAAAAAUUAGAGUGUUCAAAGCAGACCUGUUUGAGUCUGAAUAUUCGUGCAUGGAAUAAUGAAAUAUGAAUUCGGUUCUAUUUUGUUGGUUUUCGGAACUCGAGUUAAUGAUCAAGAGGGACAGACGGGGGCAUUCGUACUCUGCCGUUAGAGGUGAAAUUCUUGGAUCGGCGGAAGACGCGCAACUGCGAAAGCAUUUGCCAAGAAUGUUUUCUUUAAUCAAGAACGAUAGUCGGAGGUUCGAAGACGAUCAGAUACCGUCCUAGUUUCGACUGUAAACUAUGCCAGCUAACGAUCAGACAGAGUUCUCUACGACUUGUCUGGCAGUUUCCGGGAAACCAAAGCGUUUGGGUUCCGGGGGAAGUAUGGUUGCAAAGCUGAAACUUAAAGGAAUUGACGGAAGGGCACCACCAGGAGUGGAGCCUGCGGCUUAAUUUGACUCAACACGGGGAAACUCACCCGGCCCGGACACAGUGAGGAUUGACAGAUUGAGAGUUCUUUCUUGAUUCUGUGGGUGGUGGUGCAUGGGCCGUUCUUAGUUGGUGGAGCGAUUUGUCUGGUUAAUUCCGAUAACGAACGAGACUCUGGCAUGUUAAAUAGUCGCGGAAGUGCGUAUGCACUUGCCGAAUUGACUUCUUAGAGGGACUAGUGAUUUUAAUUCACACGAGAUUGAGCAAUAACAGGUCUGUGAUG
rnacentral:rRNA from 1 species